rnacentral:rRNA from 1 species
UCGAGAAUCUUCGGCAAUGGGCGAAAGCCUGACCGAGCGACGCCGCGUGUGGGAUGAAGGCCUUCGGGUUGUAAACCGCUGUCAGAGGGGAGGAAUGGGCGGAGGGUAAUCUCUUCGUUUUGACCUAUCCUCAGAGGAAGUACGGGCUAAGUUCGUGCCAGCAGCCGCGGUAAGACGAACCGUACAAACGUUAUUCGGAAUCACUGGGCUUAAAGGGUGCGUAGGCGGCGCUGAAAGUUGGUGUGAAUCCCUCGGCUUAACCGAGGAACUGCGCCCAAAACUAGCAGUGCUUGAGGGAGAUAGAGGUGAGCGGAACUUAGGGUGGAGCGGUGAAAUGCGUUGAUAUCCUAAGGAACGCCAGGGGCGAAAGCGGCUCACUGGGUCUCUUCUGACGCUGAGGCACGAAAGCUAGGGUAGCGGAACGGGAUUAGAUACCCCGGUAGUCCUAGCCGUAAACGAUGAGCACUAGAUGGAAGGGUCCUCCAUAGCCUUUCCAUCGAAGCGAAAGUAAUUAGUG